rnacentral:lncRNA from 1 species
GUUACACCCGUCUAUGUCUCACUCUUGACGCUUGUCUCGGUCACGUGAUACGUUGCCGCUAAAAAUAAACCCACAAGCUAGCAAAAUUUGUAAAAAACAAACGUCUUUGGAAAGUUUCUUUGCGAAGUGGAAAAGGGCCCGUGAGGAGACAGAAGAAGAGCCUACGACUUCCAAGAAAAAGAAAGCUGCAUUUAACAGACAAUACCAGGAGUCCUACUUAAAAUAUGGAUUUAUCGCGACAGGUGAUUCCCGCGCACCAAAGCCCGCUCUGCAUAAUAUGUGGCGACCGGCUCUCUAAUGAGGAAAUUAAGCCUUCAAAACUGCUUCGCCACUUGGAGACCAAGCACCCUGCAUUAAAAGACAAGCCUUCGGAGUAUUUUCAGCAGCUUUGUGAGGAGAUGAACACGGAGCAGAGACACCUUCUCUUAUACCCAGAAAUAAGAUGGUUAUCCCGAGGGAGAUCGCUGGCCAGAGUGUUUGAAUUACGAGAGCCGCUGCAGAGAUUUCUCUCUGGCAGCACAUUUCAGUGACGAGGAAUGGGUCGCAAAACUCGCUUACUUGUGCGACAUAUUCAACCAGCUCCAUGAACUCAAUCGGUCACUUCAGGGGAAAAUGACAACUGUCUUCAAGUUGGCAGAUAAAGUAGCUGCAUUUAAAGCCAAACUGGAUUUGUGGGGACGGCACGUGAACAGAGGUAUAUUUGACAUGUUUCAAACAUUCGCGGGGAUUCUAGAAGAGACUGAGCCUUCAUUGUCCCAGCUGGUGCACGAUCACCUGUCUUUGCUUUUAAAAGAGUUUGAGCGCUACUUCCCAACCACAAAAGACCCACGAACUGCCAAGGAAUGGAUCCGCGACCCAUUUGUCAACAAACCAGGUGAAUCCAGCAUGUCUAUGCAAGAAGAUCAACUGCUGGAGAUCGCAAAUGACGGCGGUAGGUUCGAGACAACAACUCUGCCGGUGUUCUGGAUUAAAGUCACGGCAGAAUACCCUGAGAUCGCCACAACAGCACUGAAAACCCUGUUGCCAUUUCCGACAUCCUAUUUGUGUGAAGCGGGAUUUUCUGCAGUGACAGCAACCAAAACAAAAUGACGGAGUAGACUGGACAUAAGCAACACACUUCGGGUGUCAUUGUCUCCCAUUACCCCUAGAUGGGACCGUCUCGUUGCAGAGAAACAAGCUCAGGGCUCCCACUGAUUUAGCGUUAUGGUUUUCUGUCCUCAGAUAAAGAGAGCUAUGAAAGCCAGUCUACAUAUGAAGAGGUCCCAAUGAAGAGCAGUGGUUCUCAGUCCUGGUCCUGGGGACUCAAAGGGAUACCUUGUAAUUGGAGAUUCCUUCAAAACCAUUGCCUACAGUUAGCGUGUAGGGCACUGCAAGGUUGGGUGAUCAGGGCCAUCUGGGACUGCCUCCUGGAGGAAUUCAGGUGUGUGAAGGCUACCUGUGUCCUGCAUAACUUCAUGAAGAUGGACACGAGGACCAGGAGUGGAUCUGCAGCUUGCCGCCGUGUGCCAGAGGAGAAGUCUGGUGCUCUGCAGGAUGUUUCAAGGUUGGGGUCCAGCAACGCAGCAAGAGAGGCAAUCCGUGUGCUGGAGCUCGUCACCUCCUACUUCUUCGAAGAGGGUGCUGUUCCCUGGCAACACCAUAGACUACAUUAUGCACAACCAAAGGCUAUUUUAAGAGCCAUCCACAUUGCAAUAAGAGUAUUCUUCCAUUUACUGAGCUAUGUCAACUGCAGUUAUUCAAUUCCCAGUUUCUCUCCCUUUGAUUUCUACUUCUCAGGUGAGGGUGCUGUUUAGAUAAGGGUGUGAUGUCUGUAGAAAAACAAAACAGGCUAUUUAAAUCACCCAUAUUGAAAAAAUGUAGAACAAUUAGACACCCUGUAACCCACACCUACACACUCAUAAGCAGGCUCAGGUGUAUAAAAAAAAGGUAAGAGGGCCAACCAUGGAGAAUAAUAAGACACGUCAUUAUUUCUAUUACCACGCUAUUUUGUUUGUCCUCAUGUGUUCAUUCAUGUUUUUCAGCAUAAAGUACUCUGCAGCUACUUAGUGGACACCAGGUUAUAUCAGCUGUGUUGGUGAACCCCUCCCUCAUCUGAACUGGCUACAUAGAGGGCACAGCAUGAUCAGAGAUGUGUUUUGUUGUGAGAGAGGAUGCCAACCCCCAGUCCCAUCAUCGCAACCUCACCCGCUUUUAAGAUAACCUUCAGGCUGACUAGAGACACUUAUGUAAUUGUGAUGAACUGAGAGAAUAUUUGUGUAGCACUGAUUCAUUAUUCAUAUCCCUGCUCCUAUGUUCUUACCUCUUUCCCUUUCUGUCUUUUACACCUCUCUCGCCACCUCCUCUUUCUUCCUCUGUUUUUAUAAUUCACAACAGAUGUGCAUUGAAGUACAGAUUGAACUUGUAUUUAUAAUAUUACAAUUAUAAUAUUAAUGCAUGUAUUUAUAACACUUGGAUAAUGAACUUCUUUCAAUAAAGUGUUUCACAUUCUCUACU